UACGUGAGGGGCGAGCGUUGUCCGGAUUUAUUGGGCGUAAAGAGCUCGUAGGCGGUGUGUCGCGUCGGUCGUGAAAACUUCGGGGCUUAACCCUGGAGCUUGCGGUCGAUACGGGCAUCACUGGAGUUCGGCAGGGGAGACUGGAAUUCCUGGUGUAGCGGUGAAAUGCGCAGAUAUCAGGAGGAACACCGGUGGCGAAGGCGGUGCUCUGGGCCGGUACUGACGCUGAGGAGCGGAAGCGUGGGUAGCAAACAGG
rnacentral:rRNA from 1 species